GAAUGUGAGGGCCAUCUGGCUGCGACCUGUCACCCACUGACUGGGUGGUGCCCCCUCCUCCCUCACUGCUCCAUGCGCGUCUCUCCCAAAGCUCCACCCUGGGUCUAAGAGGAUGACCUUCCCAGACAGAGGAGGACCAUCCUCGGGUUGAGGGUAUACGGGUAGCUGCCCUCCCCUGCUACAACCUCCAAACAAGCUCUCAAGUUACCUACAACAGAAUAUUCUGCAUCUUGUCAUGUAUUCAUUGGGGGCAUUUGUGUUCUUUCAU
rnacentral:snRNA from 1 species